UGGAAAAAUAACCUGCCUACAGUAAUCUACCUGGUGAUUUCCAAGUCCAGGAUUCUAAAGUACACAUUCUGAUUCCUGAAACCAUCUGUCAAUCAUUGCACUAUGACAUCACUCAUACUGGAAGAUGCUGCCACUUGGAUGGAACCUAUAUAGUUCUUUAGAAAAUGACACAUUGGACUUAAUGAGAAUUGCUGCUUCACAGAUGGUGGAAGACCCAGGAUUCCCAGGGAAGCCAUGUCACAGUGUUGAACCUGUUGACAUCUUCUAAAGCCAACAAACGGAGAUCUAUCAGAUGAGAAGCAAAGUACCCAUCUGAGUAUGAGGAAGGGGGUGUCAUUAACUCCAGGUGCACAGUGCUGGAAGAGAAUGCCAGCUUAGCAAUGUCCUGUGAUGUGAGCACUCACCACCAUAAUAGCAAAUUCUGAGCAUCUGUCUAUAGCAUCAUUGGAGUUCCUCACCUCUGAUGCACUACCUUGGAACAAAGAAGGGACUGGGCCUAAUUUACAAAACAUACUAUACCACCAACUAGUUUUUCCUAGAAGAUUGCAUUAGUGUCUUUAUUAUUUACCUAAUAAUACUGUUAGAAAUAUAUUUAAAAUGAUACAUCUCAAUGCUAAGAGAACCACUUUUUCCUCAUAUGUAAACUACAUGUUUAACAUGGGGUACAGUGGUUGUGAUAAAAAUAGAUUAGGCAUUGAAACUUUUUAAUAUGACAAUUUUACAUGGUUGAUGUGUGAGAAGAUAGCCUGGGAAAUGCCACUCUGGGAGUUCAGAGGUCACUUGGAAGUGAGAUAAUCAUUGUCAGACAUUAAACCUACAUGUUUUA